ACUAUGGAACCUUUUUCCUGGAAACAAUGCUUCUCAAGAGUCCUUCUUCAACUUUCAGAAUUGACACCUUUCUGAAAGUUUCCAGGUGGAAUUACAGCCACUGCCACUGACACAGCAAGGCUUGGUUAGAGCAAGAUGCACCAGAGAUAGGGAGGGACCCAAUGUCACCUCCUACCCCAGUUCCUGUGGGCACUGGAAAAAAUGGAUUUCCCCAAAGACCUCAGCAAACAUACUUCUUGGGGAUUGUGUUUCAGCUCCCUCUUUCCCAAUUUGGAAAACCUUGAUGUUGCUUGCAAUGUUCCUGGGACUUAUAAUCACUGGAAAAUUUUUCAUUUGGAAACAAUACAGGAAAAAACCAAAAAAAGUGAGAGAAAGGAUGAAACUUGUCCCAUAGCUCCAGAAGGCCUUUGAAGUGUUUUCACUCCAGAGAGAAGCUCUGACUUCUGGUCAAGAUGGUGGAAUAGAGAGUCCCCAGUGU